rnacentral:rRNA from 1 species
GGGUUGUGAGGUUAAGCGACUAAGCGUACACGGUGGAUGCCCUGGCAGUCAGAGGCGAUGAAGGGCGUGCUAAUCUGCGAUAAGCGCCGGUAAGGUGAUAUGAACCGUUAUAACCGGCGAUACCCGAAUGGGGAAACCCAGUGUGACUCGUCACACUAUCAUUAACUGAAUCCAUAGGUUAAUGAGGCGAACCGGGGGAACUGAAACAUCUAAGUACCCCGAGGAAAAGAAAUCAACCGAGAUUCCCCCAGUAGCGGCGAGCGAACGGGGAGGAGCCCAGAGCCUGAAUCAGCAUGUGUGUUAGUGGAAGCGUCUGGAAAGGCGCGCGAUACAGGGUGACAGCCCCGUACACAAAAGCGCAUGUGCUGUGAGCUCGAUGAGUAGGGCGGGACACGUGGUAUCCUGUCUGAAUAUGGGGGGACCAUCCUCCAAGGCUAAAUACUCCUGACUGACCGAUAGUGAACCAGUACCGUGAGGGAAAGGCGAAAAGAACCCCGGCGAGGGGAGUGAAAAAGAACCUGAAACCGUGUACGUACAAGCAGUGGGAGCACAGGUUUACCUGUGUGACUGCGUACCUUUUGUAUAAUGGGUCAGCGACUUAUAUUCUGUAGCAAGGUUAACCGUAUAGGGGAGCCGUAGGGAAACCGAGUCUUAACCG